rnacentral:rRNA from 1 species
CAAUAGCGUAUAUUUAAGUUGUUGCAGUUAAAAAGCUCGUAGUUGGAUUUCGGAUGGGACUUGCCGGUCCGUCGUUUCGAUGUGCACUGGCCAGUCCUAUCUUGUUGUCGGGGACUAGCUCCUGGGCUUCACUGUCCGGGACUAGGAGCUGACGAGGUUACUUUGAGUAAAUUAGAGUGUUCAAAGCAAGCCUACGCUCUGAAUACAUUAGCAUGGAAUAACACGAUAGGACUCUGGCUUAUCUUGUUGGUCUGUGAGACCAGAGUAAUGAUUAAGGGGGACAGUCGGGGGCAUUCGUAUUUCAUUGUCAGAGGUGAAAUUCUUGGAUUUAUGAAAGACGAACUUCUGCGAAAGCAUUUGUCAAGGAUGUUUNCAUUA